AACGUAGGACACAAGCGUUAUCCGGAGUUACUGGGCGUAAAGGGCGUGUAGGCGGACCUAUAAGUCUAUUCUGAAAGCUCCUGGCUAAACUGGGAGAGGCGAAUGGAGACUGUAGAUCUAGAGUGAGGAAGAGGAAAGUGGAAUUCCGCGUGUAGUGGUGAAAUGCGUAGAGAUGCGGAGGAACACCAGUGGCGAAGGCGGCUCACUGGACUGGUAUUGACGCUGAGGUGCGAAAGCGUGGGGAGCAAACAGGG
rnacentral:rRNA from 1 species